AUUGAACGCUGGCGGCAGGCCUAACACAUGCAAGUCGAACGAGUGGCGGACGGGUGAGUAAUGUCUGGGAAACUGCCCGAUGGAGGGGGAUAACUACUGGAAACGGUAGCUAAUACCGCAUACCAUCGGAUGUGCCCAGAUGGGAUUAGCUAGUAGGUGGGGUAACGGCUAACCUAGGCGACGAUCCCUAGCUGGUCUGAGAGGAUGACCAGCCACACUGGAACGGAGACAGGGGCCGAAAUCCGACGGGAGGCAGCAGUGGGGAAUAUUGAACAAUGGGCGCAAGCCGGAUGAGGCCAUGCUGCGUGUAUGAAGAUGGCCUUCGGGUUGUAAAGUACUUGCAGCGAGGAGGCGUUACUCGCAGAAGAAGCACCGGCUAACUCCGUGCCAGCAGCCGCGGUAAUAC
rnacentral:rRNA from 1 species